rnacentral:rRNA from 1 species
AGCCUACGGGAGGCUGCAGUAAGGAAUAUUGGUCAAUGGGCGCAAGCCUGAACCAGCCAUGCCGCGUGCAGGAAGACGGCCCUAUGGGUUGUAAACUGCUUUUGUCAGGGAAUAAACCCCCGCUCGUGAGCGGGGCUGAAGGUACCUGAAGAAUAAGCAUCGGCUAACUCCGUGCCAGCAGCCGCGGUAAUACGGAGGAUGCAAGCGUUAUCCGGAUUCAUUGGGUUUAAAGGGUGCGAAGGCGGAUUGGUAAGUCAGGGGUGAAAUCCCACAGCUCAACUGUCGAACUGCCUUUGAUACUGUCGGUCUAGAGUAUAGUUGAAGUUGGCGGAAUGUGUCAUGUAGCGGUGAAAUGCUUAGAUAUGACACAGAACACCGAUCGCGAAGGCAGCUAGCUAAGCUAUAACUGACGCUCAUGCACGAAAGCGUGGGGAUCAAACAGGAUUAGAUACCCGAGUAGUCC